UAUCGUUGCUUGUCAUCUUAUCUUCGUCCCUCUCGAAUGCGCGGAGGCAGACGCCAACGAAUUCACUUCACGCAACUUCAGUUUUACUCGGUCAGUUCCUACUGCCGGCCAGAAGAAUUCGUCAGUAUUCGCCGCGCUGCAUUGCCGGCAGCGUGAUAUUUGCAAAGGGACAGCACCUUUCGAGGUGCUCGCGGUCAAAGUGGAUUACAUGGAGGAAACGAACAUGAUGGACUCGGUGCCGGUUUCUGCGUCAGGGUCAAAGACCGGGUUGCAACCACAGCAGGGGGUACCAUACGAUCUUGAGAGUGGGUUCGAGCCUCAGACCAGAGCACGAUCGCACACGUGGCCGCUGCCAAGUCCGGAGGAAUAUAUCGAGGGAAAUAAGAAGCCGAACGUAUCGGUUCGAAAAGAGGGCGUCGAAGAUGUUGAAAGUGGCACGCCGCCUCAACAUGGUUCUCUCGGCCAAGGUACCGGCCUGCUUCCGGUCAAGAAGAAUUCCUCCCGACGGAAUGCCUGGGGAAAUCACAGUUAUGCAGAUCUCAUUACUCAAGCCAUUACUAGUGCUCCAGAUGAACGGUUGACUUUGUCUCAGAUCUACGAAUGGAUGAUGCAGAAUAUUCCAUACUUCAGGGAGAAGGGAGAAAGCAACAGUAGCGCCGGAUGGAAGAACUCUAUAAGGCACAACUUAUCGUUACAUAGCAGAUUUAUGCGGGUGCAGAACGAGGGUACUGGGAAGAGUUCCUGGUGGAUGAUCAAUCGUGACGCGAAACCAGGGAAAUCGCGUAGAAGAGCAAUAACCAUGGAGACGAGCAAAUUUGAGAAACGACGUGGUAGGGUAAGGAAGAAGAUCGAGGCGCUAAAAAACGGUGGGUUACAAGCUGACACGACAACUAGCCCCAGUAACAGUGUGAAUGAGGGGUUGGAUCUCUUUCCAGACAGUCCACUUCAGUCUGGCAGUGGAUUUCAACUUUCACCUGAUUUUCGUCCUCGAGCUUCGAGCAAUGCCUCAUCCUGUGGUCGAUUAAGUCCAAUCACGGCGAUUCCUAGGAAACCGGAAUGGACACCAACAUACACACUCUCAUAUAGUCCAGAACAAUUAGCUGGUAGCCUCGCAGAAACGAUGAAAUUGGAAUCCUAUCAAAUGUAUCAUACAACACAACCGAGCCACCAGCAUCAUACAGGACCACCACCUUCUUAUUACGAAUCCCAAUAUCAGAGGAGCAAUAGCUUGUCGUCAGGAUCGUCCUCCUUCGCUCUGCAGCCAACUCCUCAAUCAGCAAAUCAACAAAGAUGUCCAAUUCACGGUUUGCAACCGUGCGCCUGUCAAAUGAAUUUGAGUCCAGUGGCUGGAAUGUCGCCAUCGUACCAGCAAAGCGAACCAAGCCCCACAACGUUAGGAAGUAAUCAGCAGCAAACUCUUCAAUACAUGAUGCAGACGCAACAAUGUCAGCAGCAACAACUACCACAACGACAACAGCAAUCACAAACAGGAGUAACAGACUCCAGUUCAUCACAAACAUCUACACCAUGUGACCCCACACCAAGCACUAUGAUGGGCCAAUUGAUGGGAGCCCUGAACAAUUCAACACUCCUUGAUGAUUUAAAUAUUAACAUCGAAUCGCUGCACGGUGGAUUUGAUUGUAACGUAGAAGAGGUGAUCAAACACGAGUUGUCGAUGGAUGGUACGUUAGAUUUCAACUUCCAACAGAGUGUAAUGGGUACGGCUGCAAUCCAAGUAAGCGACAAUAACGUCGGUCAGAACGGCGCCGUUUCGCAGAACAACGUGAUAGGCACGACGACGACCGGAAACGCGACCGCAGGUGUUUACGUGAGCACCAAUGCGGCCACUCCUGCUGCACCCCCCUCUUGGGUUCAUUAGCAGUGGGCCCCACUGCCCUCGACAUCCUCGUCGUCCUUGUUAUCGAUGGUACUAGACAGACAAGAAGACUUCCAGUUUGAGGGACAGUUCAUUGAAGUUCCAUAUGUCAAGGACGAGCGGGAGGAUCGACGAUUACUUGUGAUAAGAUGUAGAAAUAAUUAUACCGGAUCACAAUCAAGACACAUACCAUACCAUCAAACGUAUUUCAAAGAUACUGAUUUACGUCUGUGUAACUGUGAUGCGAGAAAAACGCCAUAAAUAUCAUCAAUGUCAAAGAACGGGUAUUGUGUCUUCGUUACUAUACUGUAGUAAAAAUGGAAUAGGCAAGAAAAUUCAAGCUUCGAAUUAGAUUUAGUCAAUUUACGUGAUUCUUCAUUUUUUUUGAUUUUGAUAUUUCAAAAACGAGUCGUAAAGUACAUAAAUUUUCUUUAUUUUAUCUAUAAUUGUUACUCUUAUCAUUUUUAUCAUAAAAUUGUCUUUUGUCGAAAUUUUUCAAAACUUUUCUGUAUCUUAUUUCAAUUUUCGUAUUAUCAAUGAAUAAAAUUUGGUAUUUUUCGAUGAUGAUGUGUGAUUAGCUAUAUUCAUCUGGAGAUAUAGAUAAUGUAAAUGAGAAAUAUAUGUGUUGUUAUGAAGCUUUGUUGAAAAAAUAUAAUUAAAAAUUGAAACAUUCAAUAAAUAAACAGUAACAUAUAAUUUAUGAAAUUUAAUUUUAUAAUGAAUUUUAUAAUUAAUUAGUUCAAUAUUUAUUACAUUAUAUAUGUGAAAAUAAAUCUAAAAGAGGAUAAAAAAUAGUGAUAUUUGUCAAUUUCGAUUUUUGAAAUUAUUAUACAAUUGAAUAAUACAAUAAUAUAAUUAUAAUGUUAAACUUAUCUUAAAAUAAUGUUUCAACUGUAAUGGUUCGAGUCUUUUGAUUUUGAUUUUUAAUAAUUGAUAUUAUAUCGAUUUAUAACUGUUUUAUAAUAAGCUUUUCUUAAUAAGCUUUAUUGUAACAGUUUUGAAAUUUUUAUAUAUCAAUUUUGUAAUAAUUGAGAUUCUUGCGAUAUUAAUUGCGAAUUACGAAUUAUAUACAAAUUUGCAUUUCUAUAAUUUUAUAAAGUUUAUAAAAUGUACAUUUUAUAUAUUUUAUAUUUUUAAUUUUUAUUUUUUUCUAAUUUAAUAAAUUCAAAAAUAAUAUAAUUUUUAUUUAUUCAAAAAUUAAAAAAGUAAUUAUUAUAUUAAAUAAAUAAAAAUAUUGUUUUAUCGCUUGAAAGUAUUUUGAAAAAAGUAAAAAUACUUACGAAAUUUCUAUUAAAACACGUAAGUAGUAAAUUCUAUCAAUAGCAUUUCUUGAUACGUUAGCACGUAUAUGUAUAUCCAUUUCAGAAAAAAGUUUGAAUUUUAUUUGAUUUAAAAAUUGUCAUAAAAAUAAAAAUUGUAAAAAUUGUCAUAAAUUUUAGAAUUGUAAAUUUAUAAAAUAAUGUAAUAAUUUUAUUCAAUGUAGUCGAUAUAAUGUAUUGAUUAAAUUUUAAAUUUGUUUCAGAACUAAUAUAGAAUCAAAAAAUAAUAAAUAAAGUCGAUAUAAUAUUAAUUCUUAAAAACUGAAAUCUAUAAAUUAAAUAAGUAUAAAUAAUAAAUAUCCUUUUUUCAUAAAAUUUAUCAUUUUGAAAAUCGAUAAUUAACAGUUUAAAAUAAUUAUUUUCGAACAUUUUCAAAUUCUGAGGAAAACAGAGCUUUGAAAGAUUAUUGAAUAUAUUUAAUAAAAAAUUUUUAUUUCGAAAGUCGUUAAAAUUCAAUGAAUUAAAAACAGACUUUAUUUCGAACAAUUAUAUUACUUUUUAAAAAUAUUCAUUUAUUAUUUUUCGUAUUAUUUCGUAUAAUUUAAAUAUUUCUAUUUUAAAAACUUAUAACAGAAUCAUUUUAAAAUUUUACAACAAUAAGAAAAUAUGUGCUAUACAUCAAAACUUAUAGCCUACGAUAAAUUUAUCUACGAUAAUUUACAUAGUUUCCAAUAUUUUUUAUUUCAUGAAAAACAAGCAAUAUCGCGUUAAUUUUUCUUCUCUAAAUUUUGUUCAUUUUUUUUUUCAUAACGUGUAACAUAUAAUUUCUUAUGAACAUUAGAUGCAAGUAAUUACGUUCACUAUUUUCUGAUGAAUUUAGCAUGUAUUUAGUAUGUAUAUAUGAUUUCAAAUUAAUUUCUGUUAUCUUCCCAUCAUUCUGUAGUAACUUAAUUUAUGCCAGAGAUUCUUAAACUAUAGUCCGCAGGGUACAGACCCCUAAGGGACCAAGAGUUAAUAGUUAAAGAUUCGCAAUUCAUUUUUCAAGUUAAAAUUUAAUUUAUUCUUUAGUUUUAUUAUGAAAAAUAUAAUAAAAAUAUCAUGCAAUCUCAAGUAAUCUUUCAUUAUAAUAAACUGUUAACAUUUUUUUAUGUAGGUAUAAUUUAAAAAGUCAAUAACUUUAAAAAAAAGAUUAAAAAAAUUAAUAAAAAUAAUAAUUAAAAUAAAUAAAAUUAAUAAUUAAAAAUCUAAUAAAGUGUAAAUUAUAUGAAAAAGAAGAAUAAUUAUGUAAAAGUUCGAACUCAAAGUUUAAGAAUAGCUCAUGUGUAUCAAUCAAUCAGUAAAUGAUACGAAAAUUGAAAAAAUUCUGAUUUCUUUGCAUAGACCAAUGUGUGAUAUAUUGAUUUAGCACAUUAUCAUCCAUCGAACAAGAUAAUUAAUUUGUAGAAAAGUAAAAUAAUUUUUAAAAUAAAUCAAAAUUUUAUUUUCAUAUAGUUUAAAAAAAAAACAAUGAAAAAUAUUUAUAUAAGUAGAUAAAUCAAGAAACAGAAAGUGCUAUUCCAAUAUUAAUAAGAAAUCAUUUCUAAAUGUACAGACAGAAAUCAUUUCUAAAUGGACUUUAUUUUAAUUAGAUUUUCUUUGUAAUAAUUUGAAUUUCAAUUUAUAUAUUAUAUCAAGCAUUCUUUACUUUAUUAUUAGAUAUUUAUCAGUUAAUGUCUAAAAAGCUGCUGAUAAAGUAUUUAAUUAUCGUACGCGUAAAAUUGAUGCGGAUGCAAGAAUUGAAAAUCACUCAUAGAAAAGCAAAAACAAAUUUUCGUAAUAACGAUAUAAAUACUUUUAAUACAUAUUACAUCGUUAUGAUAAAUAAA